CAAAAUUUAACAUAAUUUAAUGUGUCUCACUUACAUUGAGAAAAUAAUUAUUAUUAAUUAGUUUUGA
rnacentral:tRNA from 1 species